rnacentral:lncRNA from 1 species
AGUUCAGUUUACACGCAUCUCCGCUAAUUUUAUGGAUUAUUAUUACCUCUCAUCAGCAACAGGUACUAAGCUUACUCAAUCUACCAAUACUUGGACAAGUUGAAAGAUAUCGUCUAGUGUGUAUGCGGGAAAAAUCGGAGCAAGUAAACACCCCGAUUUUCCGGUUGGCUCAACAUAACUACAUGAAAUCAGGAUCGAAGCUAAGAACCUCUCGUACUGAGACCAGAACGAAGCGCUUACCACCGGGGUCAUUGAGACACAUACCCUCUCGCCUCACGAAUUCGGUGCGGGCUCAAAGACCGAAGGCUUAACCAAACGGUUGCACAUGACUAAUGAAGGAUCGUGAUAUCCGCGCUCAACCAGAUAUCACGGCGUGGAUCUUGGCCCACAUCAAUAGGGGAUCAGUGAUUAACGAUUUUUUUAACCUUUUUUAGAAUUGUACUUAGGAUAAACUCUUCUACUAUAUAAAUGGGAAGUUAUUGUUCA